rnacentral:rRNA from 1 species
AUACGGAGGGUGCAAGCGUUACUCGGAAUCACUGGGCGUAAAGCGCGCGCAGGCGGUCUUUUAAGUUGGAUGUGAAAGCCUACGGCUCAACCGUAGAACUGCAUCCAAAACUAUUAGACUAGAGUGUGGGAGAGGAAGAUGGAAUUAGUCGUGUAGGGGUAAAAUCCGUAGAGGUAACUAGGAAUACCAAAAGCGAAGGCAAUCUUCUGGAACACUACUGACGCUGAGGCGCGAAAGCGUGGGGAGCAAACAGGAUUAGAAACCCCAGUAGUCC